rnacentral:rRNA from 1 species
GAUGAACGCUGGCGGCGUGCUUAACACAUGCAAGUCGAACGAAGCACUCUAUUUGAUUUCCUUCGGGACUGAUUAUUUUGUGACUGAGUGGCGGACGGGUGAGUAACGCGUGGGUAACCUGCCUUGUACAGGGGGAUAACAGUUGGAAACGGCUGCUAAUACCGCAUAAGCGCCCAGCAUCGCAUGAUGCAGUGUGAAAAACUACGGUGGUAUAAGAUGGACCCGCGUUGGAUUAGCUAGUUGGUGAGGUAACGGCCCACCAAGGCGACGAUCCAUAGCCGAUCUGAGAGGGUGACCAGCCACAUUGGGACUGAGACACGGCCCAGACUCCUACGGGAGGCAGCAGUGGGGAAUAUUGCACAAUGGGCGAAAGCCUGAUGCAGCGACGCCGCGUGAGCGAAGAAGUAUUUCGGGAUGUAAAGCUCUAUCAGCAGGGAAGAUAAUGACGGUACCUGAAUAAGAAGCACCGGCUAAAUACGUG